AUGAUGCCCCUAGAUCUCCGGCUGACUAGCGAGCCCCCGGCCCAACCAAAUCCAGAUCGUCGGCCACGCCGGGCCGCCGCCACCCCUCGCGCCGUCCGGGUCGAAGAAACGUCGACCGCGCACAGGGGCCGCUGCCGCCUGCACACGUUGGAGCGCAGCCGCAAGCCCAGUGCCCGCCACCACCGCCAAGCUCUGGGGCCACCGCCCCGGCAUCCGGUCACUGCGAGAACUGGCCGCCGCCCCCAGCCGGAGCUGCCAGCCUCCAGCAGCAUUGAAGGCGACCCCGGCACGCGAGGCAAGAAACUUGAGAUGAACAAAGAGAAUCCUAUUGUUGAUUUCCUCUUAAACUGUGAAAUUGUAGAAGCAUAUGGAUCACAUCAGAUUUGUGUGAUCUUUUCUUCUGUGAAGCAGAUGUCGUUUGCCAAGAAGCUGCAGACAGACCAUCCACAAUCAUGGUCCGCGCUGCCAUCUGAGCUUGCUGGUCAGGUCCUUCGUCGCCUCCCUUCCCACGCCGACCGUGUGCGCUUCGCUGCUAUGGAUACUGUGAUAUCUCUGCGCAAGGUAAUCAGGUGCUCGGAACUCCUUAUUGCUGCCAUCAUUGACAUUGGGCCUCUUUGCACUGUUGCGUACUGCCAACCGGGUUCAACCACAUGGCUGGUGAGUGGACUUGGCAGCAAAGGGUCGGUCAUAGACAUGAUGUUCUAUGAAGUAGGGAUCGAAUUUGAUGUGUGUCAGUCAGACUUCGAGUCUCGAAGUUGGGUGAAGGUGAGCAGUGUUGGGGAUGACCAGGCAUUGUUCCUCAGCCAAAGUUCAUCCCAAUCUGUUGACGUGUCUCAGUACAAGCUGAAGGGGGAUUGCAUCUACUUCAUGGAUGAUGGCAGCUGUGACUGGUUCUGGAAGGAUGCGCCAAGUUCUUCGAUGGGCGCGGACGAGGAGGAGCACCAGUCCCCCGCGCGGAAGCGCGAGCGUGAGGAGGGGGAGGAGCCCGCGGCCGCUGUCCCAAAUCUGCAUCAGUUCGUCGAACAGCGACGACCGUGCUGUUCCGUCGUCGGCGAGAUGUCUACCAAUGGCGUCGAGAUUAACGGGAUGUGUGCUGCGCCCGGGGCGAGGAGCAGUUCCUUCUUCCCAGCGGAGUCCCAAAUGGCGUGGUUUGUGCCGCCGGCUGUGCACGGCUGCCUGUGGAUGCAGUGA
rnacentral:rRNA from 1 species